rnacentral:sRNA from 1 species
CUAACAACCCUGGAAUCUGAGGAACCCCUUUCAGCAUACAUAGGGCUUCUUUAGAACUCUUUUGAGCCACCAUGCUUUGGAAGGACCAAAUCUAGAUCUGAAAAAGAAGUUCAGUUUCCAUAACCCAUUCAGUCCUUGGCCUCU